GUUAUACACUUUGUUGUACGUCGCUCUGGAUAAGAGUGUCUGCCAAAUGCCUGUAAUGUAAUGUAUUGUGUAGGUGAGUACUGGACGACAACUGCUGGGCAAACUGGUUUGCUAGUGGCAAUAUUAAGCAACAGAAAGGCCGUAUAGGGAGUCUGUUGAAUUGUUUACUUCUCAACGAGUCAAUGUGGGCUGAAAACAUUUCAGUAGCAAGGAGAAUAUAUUGUACUGAUUGUUAUGCAGACUAUACUCGUUAUAUUGCUUUGGAUCUCUUUGGCCUGUGUGCAAGGUGAAAUGGCAAGAACUGUGAGGGAUAUGAGCAUUGUGUGGCUUUUACCCACUCCCCGCAAAAUAGGGAGGGGAUGUUUUCCAUACGAUGCUCUGCUCUGCUGUUAGGUCUCCCUCCAGGAGACAGUCAUCAUUUGAUGAUCGCUAAGGUCAUGAGAUAGCGUUUUGCUGUCUGACCGGACCAAAUCUGACAACAGAUCUUAGGGAAAGUUUGCCAAAUGUGAUCUAUACACGUAGUAACAUGAAUACAUAUUAAUCAACGUAUACCAAAUACAUAUUAAAUUAAUGCUAAUGAAAUGCAAGAGUCCUAGUGCAGAAAUAAAAAGAUGUGUAUUAGGAUUAGGCUAGGCAUGGGGUGUGCUGCAAGGGCUACCCACAUGGGCUGUCGUGCAGGAGGGGGCACAAAAAGAGUGCUCCGCAGUCUCUGUAUUGAGGUUAAGGCUAUGUACUAGUCAUUUUAGUCUGCGUAUCAAGUUAUGUUCCUGCACUAUGUCAGUGAUAUCUGCACAGCUUAUCCUACAGUUAAUCACAAUAGACAUGGAACUUAGAAGUUCCAAAGGGGGGAAUGUGGGAAGGAAAUGCAUUUAAGAUCACCAACCAUCACCACCAAGAUGGAGUAUAUUAUUAACAAAAGUAUAUGUAGAACUAGCAAUGGCCAGAUCUUGGUCAAAACAGUAAUAAUCUGUAGAGGUUUGAACUAAAUAUAAAACACAAGCUGUAAAAGUCCAUAUACAAUGAAAGCACAGCUUCUGGCAUACAAACUAGGCCUUUCAUACAAACGUGUUGUGAAUGAUAAAAUCCAGCAGGAGAUAAAUGAGGUGAAUACAUGUCUUAUGCCAUGAAGGGGAGGAAGACUUAGAUAAGAGAAGGGAAUGAAGGGGAGGAAGACUUAGAUAAGAGAAGGGAAUUUAAUUAAAGAAAGGAAGGGGGCUUGGAAAUAAUGGUGUCUGAAAAAUGAGAAACAAUGGUGUAUGGGAAAGAGUAAAGUAAAAUGAUGUAAGCAUGAGGGAAAGUCCAAGCUUGAGCUCCACAACAGGAGCAGCUAACAAGAUAGGAUAAAACGGAGUGUUUGGCCCCAGGGGAGUUCAGUAUGUCUUGUAUGUCUUGUGUGUCUUGUCUGUCUGUGUGUGUGUGCCUUGUCUGUGUGUGUGUGUGUCUUAUGUGUUUUCUGUGUCUUGUGGAAUGCUUUGAGAGUGUUUGUAUUGAUAUGCGCAGAUCAGCCCGGGUUCUUGCAUGCUAUCUUUGAAUUACCUGCAAUAAAUCCAGUUGCAUCA